rnacentral:rRNA from 1 species
GAUGAACGCUGGCGGCGUGCCUAAUACAUGCAAGUCGAGCGAACGGACGAGAAGCUUGCUUUUCUGAUGUUAGCGGCGGACGGGUGAGUAACACGUGGAUAACCUACCUAUAAGACUGGGAUAACUUCGGGAAACCGGAGCUAAUACCGGAUAAUAUUUUGAACCGCAUGGUUCAAAAGUGAAAGACGGUCUUGCUGUCACUUAUAGAUGGACCCGCGCUGCAUUAGCUAGUUGGUAAGGUAACGGCUUACCAAGGCAACGAUGCAUAGCCGACCUGAGAGGGUGAUCGGCCACACUGGAACUGAGACGCGGUCCAGACGCCUACGGGAGGCAGCAGUAGGGAAUCUGCCGCAAUGGGCGAAAGCCUGACGGAGCAAGGCCGCGUGAGUGAUGAAGGUCUUCGGAUCGUAAAACUCUGUUAUGAGGGAAGAACAGAUGUGUAAGUAACUGUGCACAUCUUGACGGUACCUAAUCAGAAAGCAACGGCUAACUACGUG